UACGUAGGGGGCAAGCGUUGUCCGGAAUUAUUGGGCGUAAAGAGCUCGUAGGCGGUUUGUCGCGUCUGCUGUGAAAACUCAGGGCUUAACUCUGAGCUUGCAGUGGGUACGGGCAGACUAGAGUGCGGUAGGGGAGACUGGAAUUCCUGGUGUAGCGGUGAAAUGCGCAGAUAUCAGGAGGAACACCGGUGGCGAAGGCGGGUCUCUGGGCCGUAACUGACGCU
rnacentral:rRNA from 1 species